CUUAAACUUUUUUUUUGUUUUUUAAUAGCCCCAGCCUACUCCCUAAAUCCCAUCCAACCUUCUAGUCCAUCCCUUUAUCCAAUUACUCUGUUUUCUUCUUAUUCGAGCGACCAGGGAGAUCCGAGAAACAUGGUAUGUGUUUCUUCUUCUCUAUAGCGCAGCACACCCAAAUCGCUCUUCGCUCCAGCAAGCGACAACAAAAGGGCAAAUAGACGAUGUAUCUCUCAACUCUCAGUAACAGCAUCAGCGUGCUCUCGUCCUCGUGACCUCGAGAUCGAGUCACGUUGCUCGGCAAGGACACUCGAGUCAAUCCCAACCGUCCGUCUCCCAUUCCUCUUUCGUAAUGGGUUGAAAAUCUCAGAAAAAGGAUAUCUGGUGAAAGAUUCUCGGAAGUCAAAUUCAAAAAUGGGCCCUUCUUAUCAAAAUCCUCAUUCGAUUUCCCCCCAAGAAAAAAUAAUUUCUGCCCUAGUCUCCCUCUUUAUAACUUUCUAUCUUUCUCAGUAUAAAGGGGAGAAAAAAAAAUAUUUUAUUUUUGGAAAAUCCUUUUGUUGGAAAUUUUUGAUCGGAAGUCUUAGAGAAAAAUCGAGAAUAACCUUAAGAAAAUAUUAGCUAAGAAAUACAGUAAGACGUUGAAAGAAGAGGGUGUCUUGGUUUCGAUCGAGACACCACGUUUUUCAUUCCAUUUGCAUCGGUUCAUUUUGAGAUGCGAAUUUGUGAAGGAAGUCUCCGGCAACUCAACGUCCCAGGAAAGUUGCAUUAAAGCCAAAUUCCGCUAUCGAGUCAGCCAGCAUUAAAAGCAAUGUACAGGCCGAGAAAAUUCGAGAGAUUGGGCUGGAGAAUCCAAAUUUAUAUUUUUUAAAUAUUGUAUUUUUUUUUUUUUGAUUUUGGGGUAUAAGCAUUUGUCAUUUUUGUAUUUAUUAUUUUGCUAGAAUUUAGGACAGGUACCAAAUAGAUUGGCCCAAAAAUAAAUGGAUCUAAAUAUCGAUUCAGGUGAACAGAAAAUGGACGUGGACUUAACUCUC